AUGGGCUGUAGGACAGGAGAGUAACAGUUUAUUUAUUUUUUGUCACGUAUCCACCGAGUUCCUCCUGGGAGAUCACAUGACUUCCGAACUUCCCGCAAGCUCAGACACUCACACAGACUCAAUCUCUCAGAAUCCUCUGGGAGAUCACCUAACGGGUUUCGGGCAGCAGAAGGUGGGCAUUACUGCUAGAGCGUGAUGAUUGGCGAGCAGAGCAGCUGAUUGGCUGGACAUACAUAAGCUCUGCCUUUUUGCUGUGCCCUCUGGAUUGUUUGCUGUUUCUUCUGACUCCUGUUUUUUGACCUUUUUGCCUGCAUCCUCGACUACGCCUUUGCCUCUCCCUUUUUGGGCUUAUGCACUGUGUUAGGUAUAUCUGUAUUUUCUAUGCCUUUCGGAUUUGACCCCCGCCUGUUUUGUGACAACAAUUCUGGACUGUGAAUCUUUCAGUAAAGCCUCUUUUGUGUUUUACAUCUA